AAUUGGGAUUAGCGCAGGAUUUUUAAUGACUGCGUUAGCACCCGAAGAGAAAUCUUUAAAUGAGGUUCGGGGGGGAGUAUGGUCGCAAGGCUGAAACUUAAAGGAAUUGACGGAAGGGCACCACCAGGUGUGGAGCCUGCGGCUUAAUUUGACUCAACACGGGGAAACUCACCAGGUCCAGACACAAUAAGGAUUGACAGAUUGAUAGCUCUUUCUUGAUCUUGUGG
rnacentral:rRNA from 1 species